AAGGAAUAUUGGACAAUGGGCGGAAGCCUGAUCCAGCCAUGCCGCGUGAAGGAUGAAGGCGCUCAGCGUUGUAAACUUCUUUUGGAUGGGGACGAUAAUCUCGAUUUAUCGGGACUUGAGGGUACCAUCAGAAUAAGCACCGGCUAACUCCGUGCCAGCAGCCGCGGUAAUACGGAGGGUGCAAGCGUUAUCCGGAAUCACUGGGUUUAAAGGGUGCGUAGGCUGUUAGAUAAGUCAGUUGUGAAAUUCCCCAGCUUAACCGGACGAACUGCGAUUGAUACUGUUUAACUUGAAUGAGGUUGAGGUAGGCGGAAUGUGGCAUGUAGCGGUGAAAUGCUUAGAUAUGCCAUAGAACACCGAUUGCGAAGGCAGCUUGCUGGGCCUUCAUUGACGCUGAGGCACGAAAGCGUGGGGAGCAAAC
rnacentral:rRNA from 1 species